UGAAAAAUGAACUUUUGCCUAGUCAUCCCCUUGAAUUAUCAGAAAAAAAUUUCCAGCUCAACCAAGAUAAAAUGAAUUUUUCCACACUGAGAAACAUUCAGGGUCUAUUUGCUCCGCUAAAAUUACAGAUGGAAUUCAAGGCAGUGCAGCAGGUGAGUUGAUGGAUCUCUGUUGCAUAUGUGUCGAUAUCAUUCAUGAGGAAUCUUCUGUUUUCAUAACAGCUAUUUAUACCUUAUCUACCUUACAACCUAUUCUACUUCCCUCCCCCUUUUUAGGGUAUGACCUUGAUUUCUACUUCAUAGAGGGAAAAAAGAAGUCAUUAAAUGGAAAACUUCAAAUUACAGGCUCAGUGUCUGAAAACUUACCUGCAUCUGCUUUCAUGUUUUUCUGGGUUUUUUUUUUAUGUAUUACAUUGAAUUUGAGAUCCCUCUAAGAAUAUCCAAGUGGAGGUGUCAAGUAUACAAUUUGUAUAUAGUUGAAUAUACCUGUUUCUAAGGAAUAAGUACUUGGAAAAUGUCCUUCCAAUUAUGUAAGAACCACCCUCCUACCUGUGCUUUGGAUUCUAUCCUGUUACAUUACUUCAGGAAAAUCCCUUUAUCAAUGAUGCCUUCUCAAGCUGAUAUCUUUAACCCCUCUCUGCUUGCUCUGUCUCAGCAGUAGCAUUUGAACCGCUGUUGUCUUU
rnacentral:lncRNA from 1 species